rnacentral:rRNA from 1 species
UACGGAUGCGGCAAGCGUUAACCGGAAUUAUUGGGCGUAAAGCGUCCGUAGGUGGUUGGCCAAGUCUGCUGUCAAAGGGUGGGGCUUAACCUCAUAAAGGCAGUGGAAACUGGCGAGCUAGAGUGCGGUAGGGGUAGGGGGAAUUCCCAGUGUAGCGGUGAAAUGCGUAGAGAUUGGGAAGAACAUCGGUGGCGAAAGCGCCCUGCUGGGCCUGCACUGACACUGAGGGACGAAAGCUAGGGGAGCGAAAGGG